CCUGAGAAACCCAAAAGAUCGAAUUGGGAGAUUCAUCGUCAGCUCAUUUUGUAUAUAUAUGUGUUAUGAUACGAGUUACUUUAGUAUUGCUUGUACAUUCAUAUAUAUUUAUUUGCAAGAUGUUGUCGGCGUGCACUUCUUCCAUAGUAGAACGUCGCGACCCGUUGGGCAUUGGUCUACGACUUGAGUGAUCUUUAAUAUAUUAAAGUCCCUUGAUUCUGACCAAUUACUCGGCGGGGUAUUAAGCCGCAAUUGCGUCUAUCCCGUCGCAAGCGAGGCCAAACUGAUAUUACCGAACUUGUCGUUUAUCUGGUAUUGGCCAGCUGUUGGCUGUACGGUGUACUAAGACAGGCUUAUACCGGUCGGCGAUGCUAAUGCUUUGGGUACUUUCAGGACCCGUCUUGAAACACGGACCAAGGAGUCUAACAUGUACGCAAGUCAUUGGGCCUAAAGGCGUAAUGAAAGUAAAGAUCGUCCUUGCGUCGAUUGAGGGAAGAUGAGUUAUAUUUAUAGCUCCGCAUUCCCGGGGCGUCUCAUUCUUAUUAUAAGAAGAGGCGCACUUAG
rnacentral:rRNA from 1 species